CCCUGGAACAACACAGGUCUGAACUGCCUGGGUCCACUUCGAUAACAGAUUUUCUUCUACCUCUGCCACCUGUGAGACAGCAAGAUCAGCCCCUUCACUUCCUCAUCCUCCUCAGCCCAUUCAACAUGAAGACGAUGAGGAUGAAGAUCUUUAUGAUGAUCUCCUUCCACUUAAUGAAUAUCUUUGCUGGAGCUUGCGCUGCAUAUGGAGUGGAGACCUUUCCCUCCCCUGAGACCUGUGGGGAGCUGCUGCUCUUAUUUAUCAUUUAGGAAGCAUCUGCUCUUUGGUGAAAUAUCACCCUCGUGAACAAACACAGUGCGGGUGUUUGACCUUUUUCGAUGAGCGUUGGCUUCUUUGCUUACCGCGAGGAAUGAAGCAGAUUUGAGAAGGAGACAUGCGUCAAAGGACCUUUCAAAGAAGUCACCAGAUGGGGGCCUGGUACUGACCCUGGGACUGAGGGUGGCAGUCAAGAGGGAUUUGAAGCUGCAAAUUAAUAAACCUGAUCCUGUUAUUC